rnacentral:rRNA from 1 species
GUGGGGAAUUUUGGACAAUGGGCGCAAGCCUGAUCCAGCAAUUCCGCGUGCAGGAUGAAGGCCUUCGGGUUGUAAACUGCUUUUGUACGGAACGAAAAGCCUCUGGUUAAUACCCGGGGGUCAUGACGGUACCGUAAGAAUAAGCACCGGCUAACUACGUGCCAGCAGCCGCGGUAAUACGUAGGGUGCGAGCGUUAAUCGGAAUUACUGGGCGUAAAGCGUGCGCAGGCGGUGAUGUAAGACAGUUGUGAAAUCCCCGGGCUCAACCUGGGAACUGCAUCUGUGACUGCAUUGCUGGAGUGCGGCAGAGGGGGAUGGAAUUCCGCGUGUAGCAGUGAAAUGCGUAGAUAUGCGGAGGAACACCGAUGGCGAAGGCAAUCCCCUGGGCCUGCACUGACGCUCAUGCACGAAAGCGUGGGGAGCAAACAGGAUUAGAAACCCCUGUAGUCC